AUUGAACGCUGGCGGCAGGCUUAACACAUGCAAGUCGAGCGGGGUGAGGUGCUUCGGUACUGAUCCUAGCGGCGGACGGGUGAGUAAUGCUUAGGAAUCUGCCAUUUAGUGGGGGACAACAUUCCGAAAGGAAUGCUAAUACCGCAUACGUCCUACGGGAGAAAGCAGGGGAUCUUCGGACCUUGCGCUAAAUGAUGAGCCUAAGUCGGAGUAGCUAGUUGGUGGGGUAAAGGCCUACCAAGGCGACGAUCUGGAGCGGGCCUGAGAGGAUGAUCCGCCACACUGGGACUGAGACACGGCCCAGACUCCUACGGGAGGCAGCAGUGGGGAAUAUUGGACAAUGGGCGGAAGCCUGAUCCAGCCAUGCCGCGUGUGUGAAGAAGGCCUUUUGGUUGUAAAGCACUUUAAGCGAGGAGGAGGCUACCUGGAUUAAUACUCUGGGAUAGUGGACGUUACUCGCAGAAUAAGCACCGGCUAACUCUGUGCCAGCAGCCGCGGUAAUAC
rnacentral:rRNA from 1 species